rnacentral:other from 1 species
CGUGGCCUGAAGUAUUCGCCAGACGAUUCGUCCUCGAGCCGAUAAUGCAUUACUAGGAGUUCACUUCCGUGACCGUUGUGCAAGCCUGGCCAGAACCGGGAAGCCUGAAGUCGUGUGGUGGGCACCACCUUGAGCCGCAGGGUUCAAGGGCCUAUUCGUCAGCGGUACCGCGGGUCAUUU